GUGCCAGCUAGCCGCGGUAAUACCGGCAGCCCGAGUGAUGGCCGAUCUUAUUGGGCCUAAAGCGUCCGUAGCUGGCUGCGCAAGUCCAUCGGGAAAUCCACUCGCCCAACGAGUGGGCGUCCGACGGAAACUGCACGGCUUGGGACCGGAAGGCUCGAGAGGUACGUCCGGGGUAGGAGUGAAGUCCCGUAAUCCCGAACGGACCACCGAUAGCGAAAGCAUCUCGAGAAAACGGAUCCGACAGUGAGGGACGAAAGCUAGGGUCUCGAACCGGAUUAGAAACCCGAGUAGUCC
rnacentral:rRNA from 1 species